GAAAAUUCACGCAAAUAAAUUAAAAACGAUUUCGGUCAGAGUUGAUUUUACAUAUUGAAAUAUAAUUGUGACGUUAUUAAAAUAGUUAUACUGUAUCGUUUUCUAAUUUGCUUGGUUAAGUUAAAUUUUAUAUUUCGUUAUUACUAGUUUGUAUUUUUAUUUUAUUUUCCGGCGUAAAUAAUUUUUUUAGACCCCACGAUGUGCACGCCAUGGCGUGACAGCGUAUAUGGAGCUACGCCCCAGCA
rnacentral:lncRNA from 1 species